rnacentral:rRNA from 1 species
AUGCCAGCCACACAUACAACAUAUUGGUCCCAGUUGUCGGGUCCUCCUCCUCCACCUUUCUUCUCCCUCCCUCCUCUCUUCUCUCUCCCUAUAAUAAUUUGGUGGAGGCCAUACAUCUACUCCACCCCCCAAGAGGUUAGGGGAACACCACUUGACAACCAUUUUACUUUUGUUCCGGCACCUAUCACCUACGUCGUCGAGGUCUGGAUGGAGUUCCUUGAUUUAUUUCAACAUAUACCCGAAGAAAGACGAUUAGUGGUUGUUUCAAGCCAAACAGAGAGGUGCAAAAAAUGUUUGGCAGUUGUUGGAUCAUGGGAGCUUUCCAUACCAAUGAGCGAUGGUGGCCAUGGAAGGCGGCAAAUGCACACAUAUAAUUCGGGUGUGCCUAGAUAG